GAGGCAGGAGGAUCACUUGAGGCCACGAGUUUGAGACCAGCCUGGCAACAUAAGAAGACCUUGUCUGUACAAAAGCAAAAAAUUAGCCAGGCAUGGUGGCCCCUGUCUGUAGUCCCAGCUACUCAGGAGGCUGAGGCGGGAGUAUGGCUAGAGCCCAGGCAUUCGAGGUUACAAUGAAUUACGGUUGAUAGUACCACACUCCAGCCUGGGUGACCAGAGUGAUAUCCUGUCUCCAGCUACUGUUUCAGCUCAUUAUUGACUACUUAGCUGAGUUCAAUUCCACACCAGCUGUCUUUACAAUGAUAACUGAGCAGUUGAAGAAGACCUACUUUAACAUCCUCAUCAAGCCCGAGACUUUGGCCAAAGAUGUACGGCUUUUAAUCCUGGAAUAUGCCCGUUGGUCUAUGAUUGACAAGUACCAGGCUUUGAUGGACGGCCUUUCCCUUGAGUCUCUGCUGAGCUUCGUCAAAGAAUUCAAAUCCCAGCUCUUUGUGGAGGGCCUGGUACAAGGGAAUGUCACAAGCACAGAAUCUAUGGAUUUCCUGAAAUAUGUUGUUGACAAACUAAACUUCAAGCCUCUAGAGCAGGAGAUGCCUGUGCAGUUCCAGGUGGUAGAGCUGCCCAGUGGCCACCAUCUAUGCAAAGUGAAAGCUCUGAACAAGGGUGAUGCCAACUCUGAAGUCACUGUGUACUACCAG
rnacentral:sRNA from 1 species